rnacentral:snRNA from 1 species
GGGCGUCGGCCUGUGGGCUCCC